rnacentral:misc_RNA from 1 species
GGGAUGGGGGGAGGGGGGAGUGCAGAAAUAUUUUUAAGCUAAGAAACGCAAACACUAAUAUAACGACAAAUUUGCUUAGAGUAACACAGCUAAAUUGUUGUAGUUUCAAACCUCAAAAGUAGACUACCAAAAACAAAUACAAAUUGAGCUUAGCAGAUCCAAAUAGUAAAGUAUGGCAGCAGCUUUACAUGAAAAAACACUCAGGUCUUCAUUAGUGUCACAGCAUCUUGAAUGCCGAAUCCUACAAAAGAAUUAGUAACAACAAUAUACGACACCAAGCUCAACACGAUGCAUUUUACAUUGUACCUUUCCCCUUUUGCUUCUUCGUGUGAGAGCAUAAUCCAAGACUACUGAAGAGGGAUUAGAAGAGAGAUUUGUACUACUCUCACCUGACAAUGUUUAGCUUCUCUAACCUGACAUCAUGACAUUAUCGAUCGACUGGAGUGCUUGAUUGGCAUAAAAGCGAACAUCGACAUCAGGGUCUUCGGCUAGCUCUACUAAACUGGGCCGAAUGGUUUUCUCCACCACCGAGUUGUCAACAAUAGGUACAAGGGAUUGCAACACCUUUGCCACAUUAAAUUUAAUGUUGGGCACUCUAUCCUUUGUAGCAGUAACAACCACAGGUAGCAACUUAGAACAAGUUAUCUCAGAGCCCAUUACUGGUGCAAGCAAUGAAAUUGAUCUAAGAAUAGUCAUUCGAUACAAAUAAUGUGGACUGGUAGUCAUAUCCAAGACCUGAGGAAUUAUAUGCUGCAUUGCCCACUCUGGACCA